rnacentral:rRNA from 1 species
AACAAGGUUUCCGUAGGUGAACCUGCGGAAGGAUCAUUAUUGAAUAAACUUGAACAGGCUGUUGCUGAUCCUCUGGGGUAUGUGCACGCUUGUCAUCUUUGUUUUUCCAACUGUGCACAAAUUGUAGACCUGGAAUUUUAUUAUUAUUGAUUCACUUCGAGAGUUGGGAUUGCUGUGUUGUGAAGCCAGCUUUUCCUUGCAUAUUUUCCAGGUUCUAUGCCAUUUUCACAACCUCUACAAUCAUGUUUAGAAUGUUGGAUAAUAAUAUGUAUACAACUUUCAGCAACGGAUCUCUUGGCUCUCGCAUCGAUGAAGAACGCAGCGAAAUGCGAUAAGUAAUGUGAAUUGCAGAAUUCAGUGAAUCAUCGAAUCUUUGAACGCAUCUUGCGCUCCUUGGUAUUCCGAGGAGCAUGCCUGUUUGAGUGUCAUUUAAGUUCUCAACCACAUCUGAGUCAUCAGGUGUGGAUUGGACGUGGGGGUAUUGCAGGCUUCUUCGAGUUGUCGGCUCCCCUGAAAUGCAUUAGUGGUGUCUGAGCAGAAUAAACUACUACCACAGGUGUGAUUAAUUAUCUACGCCUUGAUAGUGCUGCAUGAAACAGAUCGUGCUGCUUCUAACGAGUGAAAUCCUCACAUUUGAUGAAUUUGACCUCAAAUCAGGUAGGA